rnacentral:ncRNA from 1 species
CGGUAAGGACGGCCUUACGACGCUUGGCGUGAACACUUCGGGGACGGCCCCA